UUAGCUCAGUUGGUUAGAGUCCCUCACGUGCGGGAUUAAUCAGAGGGUCGCUGGUUCGAGUCCAGCAGGGG
rnacentral:tRNA from 1 species